AAACCAACAGGGAUUGCCUCAGUAACGGCGAGUGAAGCGGCAAAAGCUCAAAUUUGAAAUCUAGCACCUUCGGUGUUCGAGUUGUAAUUUGAAGAUGGCAACCUUGGGUUUGGCUCUUGUCUAUGUUCCUUGGAACAGGACGUCAUAGAGGGUGAGAAUCCCGUCUGAUGAGAUGCCCAUUCCUUUGUAAGGUGCUAUCGAAGAGUCGAGUUGUUUGGGAAUGCAGCUCUAAGUGGGUGGUAAAUUCCAUCUAAAGCUAAAUAUUGGCGAGAGACCGAUAGCGAACAAGUACAGUGAUGGAAAGAUGAAAAGAACUUUGAAAAGAGAGUGAAAAAGUACGUGAAAUUGUUGAAAGGGAAGGGCAUUAGAUCAGACUUGGUGUUUUAUGAUUAUCUUCUCUUCUUGAGUUGUGCACUCGUAUUUCACUGGGCCAGCAUCGAUUCGGAUGGCAAGAUAAUGACAGUUGAAUGUGGCUUCAUUCGUGGAGUGUUAUAGCUUCUGUUGAUAUUGCCUGUCUGGAUCGAGGGCUGCGUCUUUGACUAGGAUGCUGGCGUAAUGAUCUAAUGCCGCCCGUCUUG
rnacentral:rRNA from 1 species